CUGAGACUUCCAGAAGAUGCUG
rnacentral:piRNA from 1 species